CAUGUCGUUUCUCUUUCAUUCUGCACCGCUCCCGCGCACCUCCCCCUCCUUUCUUUCGAUUCGGUCUUCCCCGUCACCCUUUGCCUUUCAAGGUCUGCGAUGUCGAACAUGUGCACUUCUCUCUCUCGUGUCUCUCUCUCCCCUGCUUCUCUUCCUUUCCUCAUGCCCAUCCUCCAUUCCACUAGACCGUCAUGUCACCACCAUUGGUGCAUCACGCGAGGAAGGGAGCCACACUGAGAACAGAAGAAGACAGAAGAGCCCCACGCCGUGCGUCUCUGUGCCUUCGCCUGUGCCUGCUCUCGAUUCGUCUUUGCAAGCUCUCUUUCUUUCCCUGCCUCUAUCUCACAUUCCUGCUGCAUCCAUGAGCCUCGCUCAACGCGUCCUUCCUCUUUUCUAUCGCCGUUGUCCCUCGGCCGUCGUCGUCUCUUUCUCUCCCCCCUCCUCCUCCAAUCAUCCACCUGCUGCGAAGGAAACAAGCAAGCUCUCUGCGGCGGGCAUGGCGCCGUGCCCCGCGGUGACACGGCAGACGUGCACAGUAGAAACUGCGCGCUGCCCAGUCUUCACGUGCACUGCAGGCUUGGCCCCUAUCUUUCUCUUCACAGACCCUCAACACCAACGCCCUCCCCCUCCCCCUUACACGUUGAUCGUAUGCAUCGUGCUUCACGGCUUGCUCGUGCGCUUGAUAGGCACGAAAGAGGUGCGGAGUGCGCACAUACGUUCACGUAUGCAUGCAUGCAUAGAUGUACAUGGAUGGAGCACCGCAGGGUCAUUUCUUCGGGGACGCGCCAGUCUGCUCUCACUCCCACGACUGUGAUGGCACUCAACCUCACACCCUCUCCUCUGCUCCAGCUUUCUGCUUACUAUUCGAAGUCCCAGUACGGUUAAUCGUGGCACUUCGAACUCUCCUUCUCGAUAGAGGUUGUUGCCAUCAAGGCCGUACGAGAUGCACGAGCUUCGUGGUGCGACGCAUGUCGGUGCGUUGCUGCCGAUACUGUGGAGCUCUCAGCAUAUUGUUCACCGCCUUUUCAGCCUUCUGGUGGGCGUGCUCAAGCGCACACCUACGCAAGCAUUCGAAGAGAGAGAAAUAAAAAGGAUUCGCUACCGCUUUUCUGUGCCCACGAGAGGAGUGUCCCCCCCCCCCCCCCCACACACACACACAGCCACCGGGAGCAGGCAGCUUUCACCAACCAGCUUCUCAUCUCCGCAAAGGGCUGGCGAGCCAUCGUGCGCUCCAGUUCUUGAAAACAUAGAUGAACUGAAGUCAAAGUGAAGAGCGAGAAGCGGAACACAUCGGAGGUGCCAUACCCCCCCCCCCCCCCCCCCCCCCCCUUCUCUUCCCACGCGCUCGCACAGACUGCAGUGGGAAAGGAGGGAGUCUGUCUUGAAUGGUGCUCCGUUUGACGUUGUCCCAUUCGCGUGGGUCGGGCCUGUGUGCGUGUAUACGCGUGGCUUUGUGUAGGGUGGUGCGGUGGCUGUACACACGCUGCAUCAGUACAGCGACAUCAUCUUGCCGAGUGGUGAUGCCUGCUGGCGAUGCCAGCAAGAGUCUCUUAUUAUUAUCUGUACGACCCCUUCAUGUUGUCCCUAAGACGGAGGGAGGGAAGGGCUGGGGGGGGCGCGCAGCGUAGUGCUGCGUCACUUUUCCCUCCUUGUUUGCGGUGCUCAGCUUUAACCAACCAGCUUCGUAUCUUGGCAGCUGGGGCUUGCGAGUACGCAGCUGCCGCACUCUCCCGUAGAUACUUGAGGUCAAAGUAAAGAGCAAGACGGGAUGUGUUUACGCUUGAAAGUUGCGUAUGUGCUUACGUGGGUGCUCGUGAAGGUGACGACAGAGUUCACAGGAGGAAUGCUCGAUGGACACGCUGCAUCAGUACAGCGACAUCAUCUAGCCGAGUGGUGAUGCCUGCUGGCGAUGCCAGCAAGAUUGCGUGGGUGUGCGGUAUUCGAGGCGCACUUGCGAUAUAUAUGUUUAUGUAAACUUUGUGCGCAUGCGCUGUGGGUGUGUCUGUGCCUUGCAUGGGUCGUUCGAGACACGCGAGGCGAGAGGAAGGCGAAAGUGAUGGAGAACGCAAUCGAAUGGGAUGCUUAGGUCUAGUCGUCUACGCGUGCGCACGCUUAUGGGCACAUCUGCACUCUGCUGACACGCAAAAAAACACGUACACGCAUGCACACACACGCACAGAUGCACUACCACCGUCGUACCGUUGAUGAUCAAUUUUAUGUUUUUGUGAGCUCAAUCGGAGCGCUCUCCUGAAAUUUAACCUGUCGUAUCUGGACCCUUUAACUCUGACGUACGGCAUGUGCGUGCACGUGUACCUGUAUGUGUGUCUCCUUUAGUCUCUGUUGGGGACCCGCGAGCAUGAGCGGGCGGCUGAUCAGAGCAACUAGAGCUUGUACACCUCCCUGGAGGCGAUGGAAGCCACAGCACGUGCCUGUGUGAUGCUGCUCAUUGUCCCUUCUUCAGACAGGAGCAUCCUUGGGCCGGUUGUGCUACACUGGUGAAUGCCAGGGAAAGCAAGGAGAGCGGGCACGCCGAGGCAGGGCUUGUGUGGUGCUGCGCGUGCUGCUCCUCCCAUUGCGCACGGUUGUGGUGGUGCUAUGUGUGUGUCUCUUGCUUUUCUCAGAGUGGUGUGCCGCGCAUAAUACGUCGGCGGCCGUUGCCACGCGCAUGUUGAAGCCCGGAAGUCGCGCGACAAUGACAACGAAGGCCCAGCUGGAUAGUGGCGGCUAAAGG
rnacentral:misc_RNA from 1 species